rnacentral:tRNA from 1 species
GAGGAUAUACUUUAAUGUUAAAGCACUUGUCUCAUAAGCAUAAGGUCCUGGGUUCAAUUCCCAGUACUAUCC